rnacentral:rRNA from 1 species
CCUACGGGUGACUGCAGUGGGGAAUAUUGGACAAUGGGGGGAACCCUGAUCCAGCCAUGCCGCGUGUGUGAAGAAGGCCCUCGGGUUGUAAAGCACUUUCAGUGAGGAAGAACGCCUGGUGGUUAAUACCCAUCAGGAAAGACAUCACUCACAGAAGAAGCACCGGCUAACUCCGUGCCAGCAGCCGCGGUAAUACGGAGGGUGCGAGCGUUAAUCGGAAUUACUGGGCGUAAAGCGCGCGUAGGUGGCUUGAUAAGCCGGUUGUGAAAGCCCCGGGCUCAACCUGGGAACGGCAUCCGGAACUGUCAAGCUAGAGUGCAGGAGAGGAAGGUAGAAUUCCCGGUGUAGCGGUGAAAUGCGUAGAGAUCGGGAGGAAUACCAGUGGCGAAGGCGGCCUUCUGGACUGACACUGACACUGAGGUGCGAAAGCGUGGGUAGCAAACAGGAUUAGAUACCCCGGUAGUC